rnacentral:misc_RNA from 1 species
GAUGAAGAACGUAGCGAAAUGCGAUAAGUAAUGUGAAUUGCAGAAUUCAGUGAAUCAUCGAAUCUUUGAACGCACAUUGCGCCCGUCAGUAUUCUGGCGGGCAUGCCUGUUCGAGCGUCAUUACGCCCCUCAAGUCCCCUGUGGACUUGGUGUUGGGGAUCGUCGAGGCUGGUUUUCCAGCACAGCCGUCCCUUAAAUUAAUUGGCGGUCUCGCCGUGGCCCUCCUCUGCGCAGUAGUAAAACACUCGCAACAGGAGCCCGGCGCGGUCCACUGCCGUAAAACCCCCCAACUUUUUAUAGUUGACCUCGAAUCAGGUAGGACUACCCGCUGAACUUAAGCAUAUCAAUAAGCGGAGGA